rnacentral:misc_RNA from 1 species
GAUGAAGAACGUAGCGAAAUGCGAUAAGUAAUGUGAAUUGCAGAAUUCAGUGAAUCAUCGAAUCUUUGAACGCACAUUGCGCCCCUUGGUAUUCCGAGGGGCAUGCCUGUUCGAGCGUCAUUUCAACCCCUCAAGCUUAGCUUGGUGUUGGGCUGCGCCAGCGUUGCUGGCGGGCCUUAAAAUCAGUGGCGGUGCCGUUUGGGCUCCAAGCGUAGUAGCAUCUCUCGCUCUGGAGACCCGGCGGUUGCUUGCCAGACAAUCACUAAAAAAACAAAGGUUUGACCUCGGAUCAGGUAGGGAUACCCGCUGAACUUAAGCAUAUCAAUAAGCGGAGGA